rnacentral:lncRNA from 1 species
AUGCACCUUACGGAUGUUAGAGGGUGCCGUCGGCGAUGAGUCCAUCGGUUUUGCCAAGACCGAAGGAAGCCCAUCGAGCACACAUCGGUUUUGCCAGAACCGUGUGGCCGCGUAGGGUCAUCACUGUAGUGACGUCAUGUCGAUGCAGUCGUGCCGUCGUGGAUGACGCGGUCGAUGCCGUCGUCGGGGUCGCGCCUUGCAGAAAAAUCUGUCAGAGGACGCUAGGUGUCC